rnacentral:lncRNA from 10 species
CAGCCCACUAAAAGGGUGCAUUCUCAUCCCCUUUCUGCCAUGAAGCAAGUUGCUGCUCUGGGCAAUGUCUGUGGACAGCGAGUGAUGCCAGUGAUUAGGGGGUAAGGCUGUAUGAUGGGGUGGCACAUAAGGAAGCUACUGAGGCUGCAACGUGGAGAUACACCCUUCAGUUUCGCUUCGAUCAACAAUACGUGUGUUAUGAUCUUCACUGGGCUCGGAUUCAGUGUAUCAUCUUUCUUGCUGCCCUUGAAGAGUGGUGUCCAGUGAAUCUUUCAAAGAAUGAUACUGAGCUUCAUUGUUGAUGAACAAAAAUGCAAAUCUCACCCAGAGCAUGCAGGAACAUGCUAUAAUCACUACACUCCUAGAAUGUGAUCUCUUUCAAUAUUGACUGCAUCCAUGCCUUCCACACACUUGCACCAGUUGGGAGGAUGGAGAUGUCAUCUGGGCAGAGGGAGAAGAGCAGUACCAUUCAGAGGUCUGUCCCUCUUAAGAUAUAUUCUCUCUGUCAACCUAGAACUCAAAGGGCUGUGUGAAAAGUUUACUGUGGAAAAAGAAAUUGAAAAAACUGCCACUAAGUAGCAAUGGAAGGACUUUUCCCGCUAAGAUGAGGAACUGCUCAGAUCACCAGCUGCUUCAGGUUACCAGCCCACACCUGUCUGUCUCACCUCUGACAACCUUGGUAAAGAAACCAAGGCUUAGAGACCUGCUCACAGUCGUUUCGUGAGGGAAUGCAACAUCUGGGUCUAGGGUCCAAAUCUAUCUCUGCUGUGAAGAGGAACUCAUACAGGAGAUCUACAUGAUUACCAAUUCUUGGCCUUGCAGUGGAGGAUAUUAAUUUUAAGUACCUGUGAAAUGAAGUUCUUAAAACCUAAGAUUCCCCAAAACUCCAGUUAUCAACAAGGUUAUAUAGGAAUCAAAGCGAGGCGUUUGGAGUAGAUGCCGAGAUCACCUCUCCCUCACACCUCUGCUGACCCCAGCUACCUGCAAUCCUGCCAGGACCAUUCUGGAGUACCUUUCACUGAAGACAAAUUUAUUGUAAAAUUUCUACUGGGAUUCAUUGUAG